CAGCAGCCACGGUAAAACGAAGGGGGCUAGCGUUGUUCGGAUUUACUGGGCGUAAAGCGCACGUAGGCGGACUUUUAAGUCAGGGGUGAAAUCCCGGGGCUCAACCCCGGAACUGCCUUUGAUACUGGAAGUCUUGAGUAUGGUAGAGGUGAGUGGAAUUCCGAGUGUAGAGGUGAAAUUCGUAGAUAUUCGGAGGAACACCAGUGGCGAAGGCGGCUCACUGGACCAUUACUGACGCUGAGGUGCGAAAGCGUGGGGAGCAAACAGGAUUAGAUACCCCCGUAGUCCCUGUCUCUUAUAC
rnacentral:rRNA from 1 species